rnacentral:lncRNA from 1 species
GGAAGUUAUGCCCUUUUGACCCAAAGGGCUAAGAGGAAGGUUGGGAGGAAGAUGAUAAAGAAAAAGCAAAGGAUAAUACAAUUUGUAUGUGCUGGUCAUGGAUGUUAAAAGUUUUAAAUUAUCCCAGUAGGAGGUAAUUGGGGAGCAACCCCAGUCAGAAUGAAGAAACAUGUUGUAGUGCACCACACUGUAUUGACUUUCUCUCCUUGCUCCCUGGAACUGUAACUUGGAUAUAGCUAUUCCCAGACAUCUUACAGAACAUUGGGUUUUUGUGAUCCUUUCAACUGGUUAUGUGUGAAAUUAGUGUUUAUGAGGAAAAAAUACUCCCGCAUAGUGUUGUCAAUCUAGGAGGUGCACAUUACUGUGGAAGUGAAAGCCUCAGUUGUGCAAAUACUUAGGAUCAUGAUUUCUUUUCUGUAGCUUUGGUUUUUCUCCUUCUUAUUCCUAAUUAUUCCAAUAUUAUUCUUAUUAUUUUUUCCUUUUUUUUUCCCCUGUGUUCUUCUCUGGCUUGUGGGUUUUUAUCUUUUGUUUUUAAUCUGUUUUUCCUAAACUAUUUAUGUUUCAGCUUUUUUACAUCCCCCAGCCCUCCUUGUAAUCUUUCAGUGCCUGUGGGAAAGGAAGAUGGAGCAAAGCUUAUCUUUUUCCAUUCUGCAGAUGAAAAUCCAGAGGUUGUACACAGAAAGAUUCAGAGAGAUAGGGGAAGGAGUGCUGUUGCUAUAGGAGUUUUCUUUGCUUCCUCUCUUCUGCAAGAGCUUAUCCUCAAAACCUGAGGACGAAUGGGUGUGCCCAGUAAGUGUGACAGCAAGGCAAGAAAUUAGAAACAGUCCUGUGGAUGAGGAGGCUGAAAGAGAAGACUGGGAAGAGAUGCCAGGACUGAAAAUUCUACAUCUCCAUGGCAUGUUGAAGGACAGGGAAAGACAAGGAAUUGCGCUGACCCCCUGUUGCAACAGCGAAAAUAUUCAGCCGGAUGGUGAGAUAAAUUACUCCCACAAUCAAGCAGAAGAGCCCCAGUGCUUCUCCUGGCCUGGGGCAGCUGAAUGCAGAGUCCUCCUGCGACCUCGGACCAGACAGAAAGGUCUAGCUGACCCACCUGGAAGGAGACACAGCUGGAUGAAGUUCCCACAGGAGGACUUGUGAUGUAUGAAAACCGAAAACCCGAAUUUUUAAAUGCAAAGCUAAAAGGAGCUCGGUGCUUUCUCCACAAGGUCAGGAAGAAAAGCUUCCAACUUGUCAGUCACGUGUUUUCACUCUGCCUUGUGUGAAUGGAGUAGUCAUAUUGGUCCUGCUUCAAGGCUCCCAAGAGGCCAAAACUAAGUUACAACAGAUUUUUACAUUUCAGGAAGGACAUGUGAUCUUUCAAGGAAAAGAAUAAACAGUGCUGCUGUUCACA